AAGUCGUAACAAGGUAACCGUAGGUGAACCUGCGGUUGGAUCAUUACCAAAUCCAAACCGGUGCGUGUGCGUCUCUGCGCCUCUGCUCUGAGAGGUGUGGGGCGUGCGCGUGCCUUCCACCCCAUGUGCAAUGUUUCACUGGGGGCGCGCGGUGCGCGGGGCAACCUGCACACCAGCUCGCGCGCCCCCUUUCACAACCAGUGCCUUCCAAUCACCUGACGUUUAUGCUCGUGGCGUGCACUCUCGUGGUGCGCACCAUUAGAGAAUUAACGAAAAACAACUUUUGACAACGGAUCUCUUGGCUCUC
rnacentral:misc_RNA from 1 species